GAGUUUGAUCCUGGCUCAGGAUGAACGCUGGCGGCGUGCUUAACACAUGCAAGUCGAACGGAGUACCCCUGAAGGAGUUUUCGGACAACUGAUGGGACUACUUAGUGGCGGACGGGUGAGUAACGCGUGAGUAACCUGCCUUGGAGUGGGGAAUAACAGCUGGAAACAGCUGCUAAUACCGCAUAAUAUGUCUGUGUCGCAUGGCACUGGACAUCAAAGAUUUAUCGCUCUGAGAUGGACUCGCGUCUGAUUAGCUAGUUGGCGGGGUAACGGCCCACCAAGGCGACGAUCAGUAGCCGGACUGAGAGGUUGGCCGGCCACAUUGGGACUGAGACACGGCCCAGACUCCUACGGGAGGCAGCAGUGGGGAAUAUUGGGCAAUGGGCGCAAGCCUGACCCAGCAACGCCGCGUGAAGGAAGAAGGCUUUCGGGUUGUAAACUUCUUUUCUCAGGGACGAAGCAAGUGACGGUACCUGAGGAAUAAGCCACGGCUAACUACGUGCCAGCAGCCGCGGUAAUACGUAGGUGGCAAGCGUUAUC
rnacentral:rRNA from 1 species